ACGCUCACCUCAGCAGCACAUCUACGAACAUUGGAAUAAUACAGAGAAGAUUAGCAUGGCCCCUGCAUAAGGAGGACACACAAAUUCGUGAAACAUUCCAUAUAAAA
ensembl:snRNA U6 U6 spliceosomal RNA